UUUUUUUUGUGUUUUGUAAGAGAGUUUUAAAGAAGGCU
rnacentral:sRNA from 1 species